GGGGGUAGAGGUCAAUGGUAGAACGCAUGCUUGGCGUGCAUGAGGUCCUGGGUUCAAUCCCCAGUGCCUUCC
rnacentral:tRNA from 1 species